CACACUCACUCACUCACAGGCCGGGCUGUGUAAACAGUUGGGAAGCCGGGUUGUGCAAUGAAGUGGCUGCGACGACUCCGGCCCCGUCUCCGGGUUAGCAGUCACCGGAGAGGAGGGAGGAGACUGGGGGACGAGGAGGUGGAGUUAGAGCUCUAAUCCCUAGCGUCUGUUCGCUUCCACAAAUAGAACCUUCUGUUGGAUGAAAUAAAAGCAAACACUGGGCCUUCUGCGCUGCCUCCACCUCCACGCCCCUCCCGCGCCUACCGCCCGCCCAGAUUGCACGGAAAUAGCUUCUCCAGGCUCCCGGGCCGCCCCUUCGCGGUGACUCGCCCAGAGCCAGCUUCCUGAGCCCGGCCGGUGGGAAACAAAGGAUGUGGGGAGCGGGCGGAAGGGGCCCACGUGGCCGCCACCGGAUUCCUGUCCCCUCCCCGCCUCCGCACGCGCCCUGGGGUCUGGGGCGGCGGUGCCGGCCUGGUUAUCCGGAGAGAUGGAGCAAGUGACGCCCGCCACCUGCCCCCGGACAAGGUCAUGUGUGCAGUCUCAUGAAACUAUGGCAGGCUUCAUGUGCAGUUCAAGAAAAGUAACUUGGAAUCUCAUUCUGUGCCUUUUGUUUUCUUUUAAGAACCAGGUCGGUUUGGAGUCCCAGGACACCCAAGCACAGCUACUUAUUACCAAAGUCCUUACUUGGCGCUUCUGCUAAAUACUUAAUUUCCUAAAACCAGGUCAAACCCAAGAAUAAAUCCUUUUCAUUAUUAA